AUGCCAGCCCUCACUGAAUUGCUCACACGAAUCAGAGAGCAGAAAACAGAUACCAUGUGGAACAGAACGGGAUAUGAUUGGAUUCUUGAUCCAGGAAGAUUGGGCCAUCUGGACAAGUGGACUCUGAUUCACUCUGAAUGCCAACUGAUUGGAGGUGUUCCACACAUCAGGAAGCUCCACAGCUCACAGGGCUAUGAGGAGACGCCGUGGAAGAGGGGCUGGAUGGUUAGCACUCAGUGCUUCUGCAACAGGCAUUGGCUGGUGAGUAAUAACACCCUUACUCCUCUAAUGAGCAGAAGAGAAGACUGACUUUCGUGGCAGAUUGCGUUUUCCAGAACUGUCUGCAAUGAUAUUUCCAGUCCCAAAUCCUCCUCCAGAACCCUGGCAAGUGUCCUUUCCCCCUGCAUGUGGGCGGGCCUUUGCGUUUCUCCUGACUGACAGAGUUUGAUGGGGGUGAGGCCAGAGGACUGCUGAAGCUGAAUAGUAAAUUGCGACACAGCUUCUGUCCAGUUCCCUCUCACGAAAGUAAGACCCCUGGAGCUGGCAAGUAAGACCCCAGAGCCGUUUGUAAGAUGACAAGUGACCCUGAUAUUGCUGCGCUAGAGAGACCACGUGGAGAGACAAAGAGACCUGCCCAAGGACCCCUACAAGAUCCAAGCCCCAUGUGUUUGAGGCUUUCCAGCCGAAUGUCUGCCCAGUGAGGAAUGGGCACUCAGAAUAGUUCAGCACCAGCCGCCAUCUGACUGCCACUGCACGAGACGCCCUGAGUGAAAGCCUAACUGAGCCUAGUCAACUUCCAAACUUCCAGUGAGAGUAAUAAUAA
rnacentral:lncRNA from 1 species